rnacentral:lncRNA from 1 species
UUUCUAUCAUGAGUUUAAUAUUUUAAUCUUUCACUUCAGGAAGGCGACUGUUCUGAACAGAACAAAAGGGAGAAAUCUGGGAAAGUUUGCGUAGUUUUUGGGACGAAAGAGUGCCAGAGGGAAGGGAGAACAGAAGGUGGGGUGAGAAAUGGGGAAAUCAUGAUUUUAACAGGCAGAAAUAAAUACGUACUACGUUUGCCAGGAUAAAUAGUAAGAAUCUGAGUGAGAGAUCCCACCUAAUGGUGAUGGGAGGAAGUCAGUAGCUGCCACACUCCUUGGAGGUCAGACAUUAAUAGCCCACUAGUCUUCACCAUCCUAUUUUGUGAGAGAAUUAGUAUAUUCAUUGCUGUAUCUGUGCAAUCCCAGUGAAGCCAAAGUCUUUUUUUUUUUUUUUUUUUGGCUGAGAAAGCCGUCCUUUUAAAAUAUGUUUUACCAAUCAAAAUAUGAAGGAUUGCUUUGUUUAUGCAUUUAAUCCAGUCAUUGGAGAAAUUCUUCUAGCACUCUAUACGUUGUUAGCAUUUUAUUAAUGGUUGGCAAUGACAUAUGCAGGUAAUUCCAUAUGAAGAUUAAAUAAGAGACAAAGCUGGUAAGAAGUGAUUUAAAACUUGUACUUAAAGAUGUGGAUCUCAGAAAAGCAGGUGUUUGGGCAUGCUUAUUUUUCCAGCAAGGCUUGUCUGCCGCCCCCCUCCCUAAUUAUAUUAGUUGUCUUAACAGAAGUUAAAAUUUAUCUUGGAAGACUUUCUGAUUAUUGACCUAUUAUGGACUAAGGAUAUGGCCAAGCAUUAAGUAAAGCAAAAAUAAAAAAAUAUUGAACACACAGAGAAAGGCAUCUCUGAAUAAAUCCUUUAAUAGUUUCUAGAAUUGCCUUUAAUACAAGUGAUCAAGGACAUAACUGGCAAUGUAUUUAACAGCAAGCAUAGUCUCCUCACAGGUUGGCUUUAUCUGAGACUCGGGCAGAAGAAACCCAUAUUUACCAGUGUCACGGAGCUCAAAAGUGAAAGAGUACUUGAUGCCUUGAUCAUAAGCCCAGUCAUCAGAGCCUCCUGCAGCAGGGUCUGUUGAUAAAGAAAUAAAACAUGACUGAAACAGUGGAAACGACAAGCCACAGAACGGAAAUAUAGAACAAACAGUUAAAAAAGAGGAUAUAUAGUGAAUCAAUUGAUUUCUUCUUGUGGAAAGGCGUUUGUGACUUAUGCAAUUACUGAGAUCCAUUUCAGGUUGGCAUACUUAGGCCAAUACUUACAGACUGUUGCAGCUCCUGGGCCGUAUUCGUAGUUGGUGUUGUACAAACUGGUCAGUCGUUGGAUUGCAGCACUGGCAACGGUGUUCUGUAGGGAAAGGGCAAAUAUACGUGCAGAUUUCCAGAAUCAUUUUGGGUGAAUCUCAGCAAAUUUGUUGAGUAAACUGCAAAGUUGUGCUUGAGAAGGUAAACUGUUUUCCACCUCUCAGAAUGAUUAGAUGCAAGUAGUUGCCAGUACGUGACCUGUCAGUAAAAAGCUUGUUCUCCAGGCUUCAGUGGUGCAUAGUCUGCCUGUGUAGAGCUGCCUUGGUGUAUAGGCAGUGCAUAGUCCCAUAUAGUUUGGGGCAAUAGCAAACAGCAUUUUCCAUACUUAGAAGAAACCUGUACACUACUUAAAAUAAAUAAGGAAUCCCUGUGAAGAGUAAUAACUUGAUACAGUAGACUGGGAACACAAUAGCCUUCCUUUUCUUUCUGUUUAUGCAGCAUAUAAAUUCAGAGUAGUACCAGUUUAGUCGGCGGAGUUGGACACCACUGGAAGUGGAAGCAGUAUAAUAAAUGUUAACAGACAGAAAAGGCAUAAAUUACCUCGGAACCAUAUGUAGUCUCAUUAAUUUCAUUUCAUUUCCUGUGCUCAGAGGGACUCGUUCAGCUCCCACUGAUUUCAGUGAGGGCUGGAUCGGGCCCAUCAGUACUACCGUGAAGCUUUGUAUGUUUGCAUUGAGGAAAAUUACAGACUUCGGAAUGUGUGGCUUUUCCACUACUUCAUUAUAUGGCAUGUUGGUAAUAAAACAUGAGAACUAUUACUAACAGAUGAUGAAUGUGAACGAUUUUUGAAAGCAGAUGUUCAGUAUAAGAGUAAAUGAUGGGUUGCCUUAUCUUUGUUUAUGGCUUACAGCUGAACAGUUCACUAUCCCAAGAAUUUCCUCAGGCCCCUUCUUUCUCUAUAGGUUGUACUCUGGCUUAUUUCCCAGAGGAAGGGAGAUUGUGAAAUAUUCUGUUUACCCUUGUGCUUUAAGUGUGUCUGUGAAUCACUAAAAAAUGCAUAUUGGACCACGUGUUUUGAAAAAGGUUAGUGAGAGAGCUUCUGCAAAACAGCAUCAAAAUAUGUUUGCAUAUCAUGCAUAUGUGUUUUUUUUCAGCCUUUUUUUUUUUUAAUAAUAUAUACAUUUAAUCAGAAGCUGAGAUUGAGUCAAAUCUGUUAACAGUAAAUUCAUUACUAAAUAUACAGAUUCUCCCUCUUUUCAAAAAUAUGCAAAGAGGAAACUAAAUUUGGGAAGAUUAAUUUUGCACUACUUAUGGACCUGUUGGUUAUUAAUAUUUGAUCUCUCUUCAGUGAACUUCAUUGUAGAGACAACAGAACAGCAAAGCUUCCUUUAGGGAAGAGUGGGGCAUGCCUUUCUCCCUGCCAAAAUGCCUGCUUCAAAUCAUUUCAGAACAGGCAGAAGAAAAAGGAUGUCUGGAAGUGUAUUUACCUGGGGUGUAUUAUGUUAUUGGCCAGAAAGUUAUGAGAAGGAUUUGUAGGAAAAGAAGUUGAGAUUUCCAGCUGUAAGAAGACCGGAAUCCAAAUAUACAACUUCCUCAAGUUCUGCAGCUUGGAGAUUGAUGUGAUAUUUAAAUGACCUUCUCCAUUAACUGAGCAACAUGACCGAGCAUUUAUGACUUCAUCUUGAAAUGAACAUUUAUCAAAAGGUUUGAAAUCUGAUUUUUUUUUUUCUUUAUUAAGUGACUCUCUCCCAGUUGCUUUCCUAAUGGAUUUACAGUACAACAUCUGAAGGUCAAAACAAAAUUUCAACUUCUUAGGAGCUAAAGUCACCUCUUUCUCAUGAUAUGAAAAUGAAGAACAGUAAGAAUGAAAUAAAUGCUUGUGCGUCCAACACAACAUUUUUCUAAAGGGGUUGUGAUAUUUAGCUUUUAAAAAACAGUUUGGAUUUCCAUGCCUGUAUGCUAUUUGGAAUCCAGCAGCCAGGAGAGGCAUGGUUAUCUCAUUGACCUUAGAGGAUACUCUUUGCCGUUGACCGAUUUUCAAGAUUUCUUUGUUUAACUGGCUUAACUCAAUUGCUGUGAUUUCUUUGUUUGUUUUUAACCAUCAAAAAUCUCUCUGUUGCGAGGAAAACUGCUCAGAGACAUAGCAGCAGAGAAGCAAGUGGCGCCCUGAAGUCCUAGGAAUAACUCCUGAUUAAUACCUUGUAACUGGGAGCAGAAAUGGCUUUUCAGAUUCUGACUCAGCUGAACUCGCAGAGCAGGUCAUUUCAGCAGAAGGUGUAUUCCCUGCACUAAUCAUCCAUCUGCGUUUACACAACCAUUACUAAUAUUCUGCCUAAUCUUGUGUGCGGAGUGCAUAGGCCAGUGAGACAGCAGAGUUGUGUUCUCAGUUGCCAUUAUCUUACAUAAUUUACAACCUUUAAACCUAUCUUUACUAUUAUUAGCGUUUAAUGAAGGGUAUGUCUAACUGGCCACCCUUUCUAUAGCAUCUGGAGCUUUGAGCUAACAAAAUAAUUUACCAGGAGAAGCAUCUUCUGCCUGUUAAUAGGUAAUUUUUGGGGGGCAGCUCCCUCAUUUCAUUCUUCUAUUGUCAGGGCAGAUUUACCAGCAACCUGUGGCUGUUUAGAAACACUUCAGGGAUAUUGAUUACACAGCUGCUGCAUGCAGACAACUCCCUUUGCCAUCAUAAUCUGGAGACACCUGUUCUCUGACUGACUGGACCAGACUCUUCUCUCACUGCACUGCAAAUUGAUUUGCCUGAGAAUGAAAGCCGUAUUCUCCUUCCACUUCUGUCUCAUGUACUAUUUAAGCUUCCUUUGUAAUGGAAGUAUGAAGGGUGCUAUUUGCAAAGUUAGCUGUAGCUGAAUGAAGCUGCAUUUCCGAGGCUUCUUGUUUUGGCAGUAAAACCAGACUCCCCUCAGGAGUCCGUGGCUGAUGUGUAAUUUAGUGCACUGUUUUGUUGUUGCUCAUGGUUAAGCAUCUCCCCCAAGAGCCCAGGGAAUCCAGCCAAGUGGAAGACUUCAGAAUGAUGCUCUUUUUCCUUUGCAAGCCAGUUUCUCUAAGGCAGUCUUACAGACUGCAUAAGAAACUAAUCCCUGGUGAGAGGGUUUCCAGUGUGACUGUAUUAAGGUGAAUGUGCCCUACCUGGGAGGAUGUGGGACUUGACUUUGAGCCAAGCUCACACAUAAGCCUCAUCUGUACAAAGCUACUACUGUAAGCAUCCUUCUCAGAGUAGUGACACUACCAGUACAGAGCAGGUCUGUUUUGACAAACUCAGUGCAGGAGCUUCCAAAUAUUGCUUUUCUGGCUGCUUCCAUUUGCUAUGCUUCCCAGUUUCUCUGCCAAAUAUUUACUUGUAACAACAGUCCAAUCUAAGGAGUUUUUAACAGUACAGAUACAAUAGUAUAGGCUGUGACUCCUCUUUACUAUGUCUGAGUCCUUUAGAAAAUAGGAUUUUUCUUGUUCAAAAAUUUGUAACUACAAGUAUUCCUACAUCUCAAACACAUUCUGGAAUUAAAUCAGGGAUGAAGAGACUUUGCUCCCAGGCAUCAGGUUAAAUAAUCAGACUAAUAGUAUUCACCAAGUCAUGAAACAUAUUUGAAAUUCACUCUCCUUGCAGAUUGCACAGACUCUGUGCCUAUCUCUGCUUUCUACUUUCUUCUAUUUUAAGGGCUCAAAAGCUACGAGAAAUGAAAUAGUAGACCAACCCAACGUAGAAGAUGAAUUUCAGUGAGCUUAAACAACAAAAGAAGUGGAAAUCUUGUGUCUAGAGAAUUAUCUUCAGCUGUGAAUUAAUACAAUAUUUCAUAGCCUACCAAACAGGAAUAAUACAAAUACACUAAUCUAACAUGCAGACAUGAAUUUGGUGCUGAGUUUGUUCAGCUAAGAGAUGGAAUUGAACCUAGAAAGGAAGAGAGAGCACAAUGGACAUUCCUCCGCUCUAUCAGUUCAGAACCAAUUCAAAUACAAACAAGAAUUGACAGAGAUAGAUAUGUCUUUGCUGAAAAUGAGGAAAGCAUAGGAUGACCUAGCAGGAAAGUAAGAUAAAAGCCUGACCUGAUUAAAACAUAUGGGUCAAAUGGUUUAUGCCGAGUGUGAUUAAAUACAGAGGCCUGUACUGCAAGAAGACAAAAAUGUGAAUAGUAAAAUGAAGAUAAAAAGAAUCUUUUUGGGGUGGGGAGAGAUACUGGUCUUGCCAAGCACAUGUUUUAAUUGUGAACAGCUAAUGCUUCUGUUCUCAGUAGGCGAUGGAUUCAAGUGUGUAUUCUGUGUGCAAUGUAGCUCUCAAGGGUAUAGUAAAUAAUGAGCCAAGUGAGGAUUAUGAGGCAGGCAAAAUGUGAUCCACCAAAAAAGAGUACAUUUUUCUUUCAAGGAGUCAUCUCCAGAAUAUUGUGCAACUUCUGAGAAAUUUCUGACCUAGAUUUUCCUGUUUUGGGUGUUUUUAUUUGUUCAUGUAUUGUUUGGAUAACAGUGAAAGUUCUGUGCAGCAUCUCGGAAGUGAGAAAAACAAACAAAUAAAUUAUCCUAUCCUGAAUGCAGGGAGAAAAAUUUGGGGAGAAUUCUUGUGUUCUGUGCAAUUGAGUUCCUCUUGCCUCUGAGGAAAAGGAUGGGAAGUUGUGGGAAGUAAGAGCCAUGUAUGACUUUUAUCUUCUGUCAUACUGCAUAGUCCUGGGGUGGCUGGGGAUAGCCCUAAUCCCCUACUCAAACCAAGUUACCAUAAUGUGAGGUUGCUAUGAUUAACUAUAGCAGUGAAGGAUGAAGCAUAAAGGUUGCUGGAACUCCCAGGGUGCCCUGUUUUACCUGAGAAACCAAAACCAGAACAGUUUUUUUGUCUUCUGUUGAUUUCUUGAGGCUGUGAGCAAAAGAAAAUGUCUUUCAAGCCCCAAGGACACUGCUCAGUGUUCUUGCAGGAAAGGAAAGUACAAGCUUUCUCUAGAUCUUUCUUUUCUGCAAACCUACUGAUUUCAAUCUCAAAUUACUCAAUUUUUGUAUCCUUAUGCGUCUCAGACACUGGAAUGUGGCACAGACGGCAGUGUAUUAUGCUACCUUUAAUUAAAUAUAAUGGAACAAAAUAUUAUUAAUGAUAAGCAGACAUGAAAUUUUGUUUAACCACAUGUUGAGCUGCUCACUGGAAGAGAUAAGAAAUUGCAGCUAUAUUUCCUUUAAUUUAUUAGAUCUGUCAGAGUAAAAAUAACAUCCAAGAUAAGAUAAUGGCACUAUAAAUUUUGCUCCAUUUGAAAAGUGAUUUAUGGUCCUCUAACUCACCCAAACAAUCUCUAUGAAAGGUUGAGAUUCUAAUUUUUCGCCAUUUCUCUAAAUUCUAAAUCUGGAUGGAACUUUUUGUCAUGGAAUAAUGACUGGCAUAAACCACAGUGUCUCUUUUUCUAAGUGUAUCACUUUAAGCAAAUACAGCUAUUGAUGGAAAAUCUUAAAUUUCUUUAGUUACAGCUCAAAUGAAUGUGCUUUAGUUAUCUCAAGUAGCCUGAAAAGCCGCACCUUUGAACUUGACCCAGAGCCUGUGAAAGUCAGUCUAUUUAAUUCAUUGGUGUUGGAGUGAAUUGGGCCUUUUCUGUUUAAUUACCCCGGCUAUAGGCAAUUUUGAUUGGAUGAUACUCUGAUCUCAUUCUCUGAAAGAAGGAUUUUUGGCAAGAAGACUUCCCUUGUUAAAGUCAGGUACUGCUCAUGUAGAACAUCUCUGGGAUCCUGCUGUCUUUUUGUUGGGAUCACCAGUGAAAGAAGUAUUUUCCCUUAAUUAACACAUGAAAACCACUCAUCGGGUCACCUUGUCAUUGGUGGUGAGGUUUGUAAUUGCUUUGUAUUGGAAAAUAAUAGAACUCCCUCUGGGAUCAUUGUACCCAAUUUAAAAUGUAGGAUAAAAUGACUGUGAAAAGACUAACUUAGGAAGUGAAAUCAAAUAGGUGAAAAGAAGUAUAUAGGUUGUGUUCCUGAGCUAUUUAUUUCUUAUGCUGAAUAGUAAUAGUAGACUUGUUCUCCGUGGCAGGAAGACUUUUAUUAAUUAAAUGCUGGAGAACCGUAGUAAGAGUAAUUCAUUAAAUUAUAUUAUAUUUUGGGAUAUAUUUCUAAUCAUAAAAGUUUAAUUUGAUAAAAGAAAGUGAAAACCAAGAAAAUAACAAGUUAUUUCUUAUUUCUAAAGAUUGUUUUAAUGGAUAGGAUUUCCUGUAUUUUUUUGAUACUAGGGCGUUGGUGUAAACUUUCUCAGCUUAAUCUGUGAGAAGCAUGCUGGGGUUUUAGUUAAGUUUCACAUUUGCUUUUGAUUCAAAAAGUUGAGCGAAAUGUCGUGCAACUUUUUAACACGUGUGAACUUUGUGAUCUUGACAACGAAGCAGCUCAAGGGCUUUGUGCUGUUUAUUGCCUGAGACUGAACUGCGAUGUGUGAAAUGUGAAAAAAUGUGUAAACUGAAGACAAGAAAUUACUAUAGUUCCAUGGAAUAAUUAAAAUCAAAGCUUUCUGGAAAAUAAAUUAAGAAAGCAAAAUUUUCUUCUGGAUUUUAUCCGCUCUUUUAAACUGUAAAAUAUGCUGCAGGAAAGUUCGCUGUUGGCCCGAGUUCUUGUUUGUGCUUUGGAAUUGUGACAUCUAUUUGGGAGCACUCAUAAAUCUGUCAAGUCCCCCCAGCAGACCAGCACACUUAGUGUUGUUGCCUUGGACUUUUGGCAGCAUCCAGAAAAGAGAGGGAAUCAAGAUUUGUUUGUUUUGUUUUGUUCUGUUGUUUUCCCUGCCAACAGCUUCUAAUUGCUAAUAUGCCAGAGAACUGAAGUAAUUUUAUUAUUCAUGAUAGCUGAUUCUUGGCCUUAUGAAAUGUUUACCACUUUUAUGCGCACUUAAUAUUUUUAACUUUUUUUUUUUUUUUAAUUCCAGGCUGUUAUUCAAAUGGUGUUAAGGUGUGACCUUCAUUUUGGAUGAAUAAAAGAGGAGUUGUUAUUUAAAGCAUGACAUUUACCUUCUUCUCUUCUGAGUAAGAGGUGUAUGUGAAUCAAGGCCUGUUCAUAAAGGUCCCAGAACUGAUUGUUUUCACCUGUUUUGUGCCUGUUUUUAAUUAUAAUUAUAGUUCAAUAUAUAAAUAUAUAGUAAUUAAUACUAUAUAUUAUAUUUAUUAUCAACAAAAACUGCCCCAUUGUCCUCAACCUGUAUCGUUCUCUUUAAUAGGAGUCUCACCUAUUCUCUCACCUCCUUCAGUGAGAAGUAAAGUUUGGUAUGAAGUGUUAGGCAGAGUUCCUUAUUUGCUGGUACUGGUACCAGUUCAGUCAUUUCUGGGUAGUUAUUACAAUCUAGCAAGCUGUUAGCAUGGUUUGCAGAGCAUAAUGUUUCUGUGUGAUGUUCUGCAGCCACACACACUGCAAACUCCUGCAUCAGGAAGAAACAGUGCUGCAUGACAUAGUGAAUUUCUCUAUGGCAUGACUGGAAGUCAAUCCUGACCUUGUGGCAAAUUCAUUGUGUGUAUUGGAAUUAAGUAAGGCUCUUGAGUUUAUCUUGUUCCUGAACUAUGUGGAAGCCAUUGCGGUUUCUCUGUUUUUUGAGGUAUUUUCAAAAACUGGCAACAUAACAGAUUUAUUCAUAGUUAAAGAAGCUGCCUGAAGUUAAAUAGAUCUACAUAGUGCUCUUUCAUUAUAUCAAAAGCAUUCUUUUCAUUACAUCAAAAUGACAAAGAACUUGUGCUUACCAGUUCGUUGUAAUCCUUUGCAAGUUUAUAAGUGUACGAAUAAGGAAACACUAGCAGCUGGGAAUAGGAGUGCACAGUCAGAUAUGCCUUGAUUGUAGAGAGAUUUUCACGAAUAAAAUCAGCCAAAGCCUUACUCUCCUUUUCAGACUCAGGUGCAGAGCCACAGUAAGUGGAAGCGCAGGGUCUAUCUGAGGCCCCCAGUUCUGGGAAGAACAGUGAACAUAAUGAAUAUUUAAUAAAAAAGUUGGUUGUUAGGAGAAGGUAAUUAUGUGAAUUUCGUAAUAAAUCUUGGAAAUCCUACUGCCACACCUGUACUGUAUUGGAAGAGAGAGUCCUUUGUUGCAUAGUUAAGAUGCUGGGCGGUAUGACACAGUGUUAAGUAAAUAUGCACUGAACUUGUAUGCAUGUUUGGAGGGACAUGAGCUUUUUUGCAAAGCCCUAUAUUAUCUAAAUGACUAUUAUUUGCUUCCUUACUUAAAUGUCUUCUCCUUGCACAUCUCCCCCAUGUCUGAGAUGCUUUCAGGAACAAGCAAAAAGGGUACCCCUCUGCAGUGAGUGAAAGCAACUGAAAGAAAGCUAUUUUGACUUCUCUUCUGAAGUCCACUGUUCAUACAAGUAGCCGUACGGAUGAAACUAGUAACUAAAGUUUGGUUUUUGCAUAAAAUUUGAACACAAGCUAUUCCACAAUGCCAUUGCCACAGCUAUUAUUAGGAGAUACUUACCACACCAGCCAGCAUUGAAAUUCCUGUUGAGAUCGGUACCAAUGCAAGAGCUGCCUGUGUUUUUAGAGCGUGUCUUUCUCCACAUACGGUCCUAAAAUAGAAUGGUGAAGCUUAGAGUAAGAAAGAGUUCUUACAGUUGGCUUAACCAGCAAUGUUUUUGAGAAAGAGGAACAUACUUACUUUUGUCCAACUGUAAACGUAACCAUCAAUAUUAACAACUGGCAAAACAUAGAAGUCCAAGCUGUUGAGAAGUUUGGUCAUGGUACUAUCUGUUCCGUAGGUCUCAACAGCCUAAUCAGAGAAAAGUAGACAGAGCUGAUGAUGCUUUUAUGGAAUGAAAACAUCUCCAGCAUAUAUUUGAAGGCCUGGAUCUAGAAAAUGAAUUACUGGAUGUGGACAGUGAAGUCAUCCAGGUCACUGCACCACAUGAGGUGGUAGCUCUAAUGUUAUAUAUGCUCAGAAGACUUACAGUGACUGAAACCACGUUGCUGUUAGAGAGUCAUCUUCUUCUGGUAGAUAAAUUAUAUUUUAAAGCAAUGUUGAUUUUGAACAGGAUAAUAAAGAGAAGGUUUCCAUCUUCUAGCUUAUCAUUGAAAGACAGAAGAAAGUUCUGGUCCAUAUAUUCUCCCUAUAUCCUGUCACCUUAAACACUUGUUUUUUGUUUAAAUUGAUUGUAAAUUUUGAAUCUCUAUUCCUGUUUUUGAUACCUGUUGUGCGGAUAAACUUCAUCACUAACCAAAACUACAGAGAAUGUUUCUGUCAUUACAUCCUUAGACAUUUCCAGUCAUAAUGCUUUGGUUGCACAUAUUCAUAGAGAGGUGGAUUUUUCCAUGCAGUUUUCCUGGUAUGUACAUCAUAAGAACUUCUGCCAGAAACCUACAUAUCCUGAUUGUUUAUGACCUACCACUUUGUAUGCUUGUUCAGAGAUUUAACUCAGUCUUGUGUGAGCAUCCAAUUAUAACUGACGUUUGCUCUGAAGGCCUGGUUGCAUCCUUGUUUCCUUUAUUUUACAAAGAUGUAUAGUGCAACACAAGGAGUGAUGCAGUAGAAAAAGAUAUCUACUGUCCUGUAGCUAGCAAGUGGACAGGUUGGAUGUAGAAUCUGGAAAAGCAAUUUUAGGUCACUAGAACUUACUUUUUUCCUGUGGUUUUUGUUUAUUUCUUCAGGUGUUCUUUUUUUGUUUGUUUGUUUGCUUGUUUGUUUGCAGAUACAAAUAAUGAUCUACUUUAUGUUUUUUUCCUGUACUUUUUGACUUUUAUGUCUAGAAGCAAUCCCAGCUGAACCACCAAUGACUCUCAGAGGACUGCACUUUAAAGUUUCUUCUACCAAUCCACACUUUCAUUCACUGAGCAGAGCCACUGCGGGUGUCAGGUACAUCCAUAAAUUAAAUGAUCAGACAGUGGAAAUGACAGCCGUAGUGACGUGAAUUGCUGAGAGAAAAAUGGUAGCGCAUACUGUCUGCAGCCUUAUUGGGAGAUAAUGAAAUAAUAUUCCCUUUGACUCCACUGAGAUGUCACUUUCAAUUUCCACUGCUCCUUACACAAAACCGCAUGGCUGUCUGAGAAGAUAGAGGUUAUACUCGCCACCAAUGCCGCUGCAAGCAUACCUCAUACACAUGCUUAGGUAGUCUUAAGCUGCUCAGAGAUUACAGGGCAGCCAUUAAGAUCUAGUGUAAGUGGUAGAAAGAAAAGUAAUUGUGUUUUGUAAAACAAGUUUUGAUCAUUAUGCUUACUUCUUUCACAAACCACUGGCAGAAAGCAGGGGAGAUCCACUCUCUUGCAUGAAAACCACAGUCCAUGAAGAUGGCCUUCUUAUUCGUACCGCUUUUUCCCAACUACAAAAACAAAUAAAUAAAAAAACAAAGCCAGGUUCUGAAUGAAACAAUUUGUAUGCAGAAUAUGUCUGUCAGCUCGUUGACCUGAAGAGUAAAACUUUAUAAAUAUAAUAUUCGCUGAUUAAAUGGAAAACUAGGGAGUCGCACAGCUGUAGUUGACAAUGAUAUUCAAUCUAAAACCUUAUAAUCUUAGUAAUUUCAUUUUUAUUAAUGUAGGUAACUCUCUCCUCCACCACAAUAAUAGAUCGUUCUGCACUGUUGAUAUAUUCCCUGUGGUGUUUCUAGUAGUUAGCUUUGUUUGGAUAGGUGAUAGAUGCUUAUGCAAUUUUAGGCAAGUAACCUUUAUCCUCUCACCUUUAAUUCAUUAAUGGUAUCUUAUUUACUCAUAAGAGUUAUUCAGAAAGCCUGUAUCUGAUGAAGAAACAAACAUAUUGCCUUUUGCUAGGGAGACUGACAUUUAUAGAUCCUUUUAGAGUAAUUGUGCUUACAGGUGGAGAGAAUAUAAAGGUAGGUGAUAAUUCACGUGGCUCACAGGUUUGUUGUUAAAUUUAUGUCUGAACUUCUAAUAAUUCAUUAUGCCCCUUAAACCUUAAGGUAAAAAAGAUCAUAGUAUAAAUAGUGCAAAAAGUCUAUUUGAUUUAUUUCAAAAUGUAUAUUAAUAUCUUAGCAUCAUCGCUCAGUAGGCAUCAUAGUCUCACAGAGAUAAUAGCAGAAGAACAGUUUGGCACAAAUGAAUCACUGCACUUACUUUGAGAAGGUACAGUGGCUGUCCUUCGUAUGUUUCCCCAAUUACACUGCGAGAGACCAGGGUUGGAUUCUCAGCAGCAAUGUCAGCAGUCCAAGCAGCUAUCUGUUUAAUAAGGAGAAUAAAGAUGUUGAUGUGUUUGUCCUCAGGUCCAGAAUAAUUUAUUCACAGCUUUCAAGCUGGAAGGGUCCUUCUGAGAAUUGAACCAAAUAUUUGAUACCAUUGAUAGAUUCCCAAGAAUUAACUCUUGCUUAUGCUAGCACUAUAUAUCUAAUCUUGGGAGUUUUUUGUUGGUGGUGGCGUUUUUUGUUUUUUUUUUUUCUUCCAGUGAUAGAUAGUGGUUCAUUGCAGACCUCAUCAAACUAUUGCUGAGCUAGGAUUUUCUGAUACAAAUUUAUCUAAAACUUCCAAUCAUUGGAGUUUGGCUGGUGAGUCAAGAAACUUUUUGAAUGCUAACCCUACAGAGUGCUUAGAGAUUAUGAUUUUGUCAUUCUUUUAAAAAAGGAAAACUUUUUUCCUUUUACGACAAGGAGAUUGAAUGCCUUAAAUCUUCUUCAUGUUUUUCAGUUUCAUAGCUUUUCUAUUUAUUAUCAUUCUUGAACUGUUUACAGAAGCACUGGGCAGGGAUUUGUGGGAACAGUCCACCAAAGUCAAAUACAAAAGAAAUAAAUAUGUGUAGGCAGAUGGGUUAUGCAGAUUAUCUCUGUAAUGAGCAGUGAAGGAAAGAUUUUAGAGAGGAGGUUAUCAAAUAACCUGUUACGGAUGCAACAGAAGGGAAGAAGGGAAUAUUGACGAAAGAAUAUCAGAAGCCAUUUUGACUAUGGAGGUUAAGACAUCAAGUUGAUAAAGUGGAAAACUUUCGGACUUUACCGUAUCCCAGGUGUUGUAUUUUUCAUAGCUGUGACCAGUGCCACGGACUUUGCUGUCAAACUGAGCAUGCAGCGCAGUCUGCAGGUUGUCUAUCAGAACACUGCAAUACCAUGAAAAGCAGAAAGAAACGUACAAUUUAUUAGCAGAAGAUCAAGCACCACGUGGAUAUCUUUGGAUUUGCACAGAACUAAGGCCAUGUUGAUUGUGAAGAGAAAUGUGGGGAGCUGGCUUAUGCAUUUGAAAAUAAUAUAGGUUAUGUUCAAGUUUCAAUCUCCUUCCUGCCUCAUCCUUGCUGACAGAAUGAUCACAAAGCAAUAGCUUCUUAACUCACACCUGCCCACUUAACUCCCAUACUAGCAAACUUCCGGAGUGGCAACAGUUUGCUUUAGGAAGAAUGGCAGUGCUGAAACAGGGUGCAUGUAAACUAUUAGUUCUGUAUUCAAGAGCAACUCUGCUUUGCCUUGGACUGACCUCGUGAUGCAAGAUUGCCUCUUCCUCAAAAGGAAAAGGGCAUUCUCUUGAACUGAUGAUGCUGAAGGACAAUUAGACUGCAGUAACGUAACACCCUCCUGUUAUCCAGUAUCUCUAGUAACCCAGAGAUGUUUGCGUGAUUAAAUUCUUUAUCAAGCCAAGCUUCCAAAGUUUAGGUGCAGUUUACAGAUGACAGGAUCCAUGCUCCAAUCUGUCUUUCUGCUUGUGAGAAGAGCUAUUAAAGUAGCAACACACUGUGGCAAAAAAUAAACCGACAAAAACAACAAUAAAAAACAACAACAGAAAAAACCACCCUAAUAUCCUGUCUGCAUUGGCUGAAUCUCUCCUAUUUAUCUUUCCCUGAGGCUGAUAGAAAGGCACAGCUCAUCAUCAAGCAUGGUCUUGAGGUCCUUUUGUUUACAUUUCAACCUUGGCUAUAAAAAAAAUGAUGUUUCCUUGUUUUUUCCAGUGCUUGUCUUAACAUCCUUACAAAUUCUCACUUGUUCAGGAUAUGUCCUCAAUCAUUUGGAUAGAAGAGCAGGAGGCCACUUUGUGAGGCACCACCAGCCUUCAGAACAAACAGUGCAAAUGAGUACGUUGACAUGAUGUCACGGCACUGCAGCUCCACUUCAAAAGAAUUUUAACGGCUUGGGUUGUCACAAGGACACUCCACUGAAGUUUGUCAGGGACACCUUCCAGACCUUUGUUGCCUUUGUUGCAAUCAAAAGAUUUGUGCAUGGACUUGAGGGAGUUCAUAAAUAUCCUAGGGAAAACUAGCACAUGUAACUCUUCCUUUGCCAAAGAAGAAAUUCCAGUGAAACUGGAUUCUUGUGCUGUACGUGGGCUGAGGUACUACUGAGAACAAUCUCUUUUAGAGUAUUUUUAACUCUGUUCCCUCCCGUGGCAUCCAAAUGGGACACAGUUAACCUGUGGAUGGCAAGUUUAGGGAGAGAGAAUCCUCAGAUGUAGCAGAUCAUAACAGCAGUGUUUCAUGAGAACUCCAACAAAGGAGUUUGAUCUGGUGGAAGCAAAUCUGAGUGAUGAAAACUCUCCACUCUGCUGAAUGAAGUCAUGAGAGUUUGAUCAAGUAAAGCUGAGUUUUAUGUCUGCAUUUAUGCAUACACUACACAUUGAAAAAGCCUGUUAAUCAAGCUGGACCAAGGAGGAUGCAAUGGAGGAUGUUUGUGACAAAUAGAUAAAUCAAUCAAUGAUGAAAAUCUUCAACAUAUUUUCUCCAGUAUUCGGUCUCCUCCUACUCAAAACUUACUUGAAAUCCAUUUUGUUUUCUUUCAAGAGAUGUUCAACCUCCAAAGUCUUGUCAGCUUCAACUCGGAAAUCAACUUGUCUUUUUGGCUUUACCAUUUUCACGGAGUCUGGCUGCCAAAAGUCAAGCUGAAAGAAAGCCAAAUGAAUAUAUGAACAAAUACAUAUAUACAUAUGACUGUGUUUUAAGUGAGAGCAUGUGUGAUAUAGUGAUGCUGAUUGUGAUUAAUGCAACAAAUUUCAUUCCAGUGUUACACUGAACUGAUCUUGCUUGCCAGAAAAACUGACUUAAGUUUUAAAUGGAAUUCAAUGAAGAUGAUUUCAUUAGACCCUCAAACUUAUGUGGAAGAUUUCUGAAGAUGACAGUAACAGUUGAACAAAUGCCAAGUAUUAACUCAGUUUUUGAGUACAUUUUUGACUUAUUAAAUUAUAUUACUUAAUAGGGACUGCACUAGUCUUGAACAGCACUAAAAUCAAUGCUUGGUAUUUUUUCUUUCCAAAACUGAAAAAGGAUAAAGACAAGUAUCACCCUAAAUCAAAUGACAGGUAGCCCUUAUAUCCAUAAGAAUAUUCUGAACUUCAUUUAAAAGAAUCUAAUGUAAAAGAUACUGGAGUUUUGGAACAUAAGGAAUAUUGUCUGCUCUGAACAUCCUGUACAAUUUUUACAGCAUCUGAACGCAUACAGAUUUGUGAAUGCUGUGCAAAAUUUGUAACUCUUUAUAACUUUUUCAUUCUUGUACAUAUUUCAUUGGAGAUUUUUGGCUAUAACUAUUAAACAGAAAUGGUCUCCUGACUAUAGCGAGCUACAAACAUACUUUACAUACAUCAGCUGCAAAGGACUGUUGCAUUUAUAAGUGUCUUUAAGACUCAUUUUGCUGCAGUUUGUAGGAGGAGCCUAUAACUUUGGAAGAUAUUGUUUAACUCAUAAUGGACAAAUGACGGUGCAAUUACUACUUCACAUAUUCCUUCUGAAGUCUGCCUUAAGAUCUCUUUUGGGUUUAGAAUCCUGUUAAAGGUCAGUGAAAACAAAGCUGGUUUACCAGCCUAGUGCCUUUUCAGCCUUUCAUGUCCUGAACAUAAAGGAAAUUGGGCUCGUGGGCACGUUCAUAAAUGAUGUAUCUUCAAGUGAGAUGACUAUUCCAGUGUAUACUGCUACCACAUGAGUCCUGGCAGAUUGCUUUGUAUAACAAUGAUAGUUCAGAGAUCUUUUCUUUACUUUAAAGAAAACAAGCAAUCCCUUUAUCCUGCAGGCUUAGAAGCAAACUUGUUAUAUUCACCUUCAUAGAACUAGCAGCAACAUACCAGUAGUAUAUUCUUUCUGUAGAAUACUGUUUCAGCAUACUGUACUAUCCUGCUGCUGCUACUUCUCCACAUCUGUACUUCAUUAAAAAUACCAUCCUUUUAUCCUACAGAUAAUGGUGUCUUUUUCACCAACAGCUAUUUUACAACAUCAAAGCUGAAGAGAAAUAUUGAAAACACAUUUGCUGUCUGUAUUGUUCUUUCUCAUGUCAUUAUGUCAUCAUAUAUCUACAUCAAGGUCAGUAAGAAACAUGCAGCUUGACUGAAGAAUGAAAAUUUUAAAGGAAAGUCAGAGACAAAAGGUGAUGAGAGGUUAGAGGCCAAAACAAAUUUCAGGUUGUUAUGAACAUGAAUUUUUAGAUUAUUUGCAUGAACAAAAUCUUUUACCUAUAACAUUAAACGUUCUGGUACUUGGAAAUGUCGUGUUUUGUCUAAUUCUUGAAGGCACUCCACAAUGAAUAUAUAAUUUAAAAGUAACAAUAAAUUACGGUGGAUACUUUCAUGCUCAGGCUGGGGUAUCUCGACUUUUCAGGAAGGCAUUAGCUCGUAUUUAUGUAAUUCCAGCUUUAUCACCUUGUCCUCUUCCCUCUGAAGAAGCACUCCUGAUGAGUUGGCUGGAGUCAGGAUUAGAACUUUAAUUUAGAAUCUUGUUGUUGUUUUUGGGUGAGAUACAUUAGUUGAGGAAAAGGAGAAAUGUUCCCUUUGGACUCAAAAAGCUCCUUCCCCAAGUUCUUUACCUUCAUUUUGCUGGCAAGAGAGCGGAUGAUUUCCACCUGCUCAUUGUCCUGGGGAAUCACACGAAACACCUUGUGGCUGAAAGAAGAGAGAAAUUGGAUUUUAAAAAGAUAAGUCAACUGGAAGACUUCUGCUCAUGGAGAAGAAAUCAUGAAAAUAUAAAGCUGAUGUCUGUACGUACCCAUCAAAAGUCUGAUCUUGCAGGUGAGCAGAAGCAACUGCAGCACCUACGAGAACUAAGAACGCCCACAUUUUUUAAAAGAAGCAAGCAGGUGUUCAGUUCUUCUGGGCUGCUUUUAUAGUCUGUUUUGUGCUUUUUUUUAUCAAAUAUGCACCAGAACAACCCACUGAUCAGCUGACACAUUAUCCCUUUGGCCUUGCUUGGUUUGCAUAUUAGUUAUAAUGUGUGCUUUACUCCACACCUGUGAAAACAGCGGAAAGUCUCAAGGGUGGUAGUAGCAGUCGGUGCUGAGGAAUUUCACUGCUAGAGCAGGGUGAGCUUGUUAGGUGAGAAACUGAGUUUAAUCCAUUUUGUUCUUUUUUAGUGUUGUUUUUGUGUGUGUGAAUUUUGAUGAAAAAAAUGUAAUCAUUUUCUUCAAUUGUUUGGUUGGUGGAUUACAAACUUUAUAAUACUUAAUUGUCACCUUAUGUAAUGGCUGAUGACUUUCAGAUGUUGCAGCAGUGUGACCAGUCUUCUUAAUCACACAGUACUCUCUCUUUUCCUGAAUGGUCUGUGUCUGACUGUGACAGAGUCAGAGUGUCUGAAGAGGAAACACAGUUUGGAUGUAUGAAUUCCCAAUCUUUUCCCAGUAGGGAGGAAAGGUACUGAACUUGUUCAUUGCUUCAGUUGUCUCACUUGAAAGGAAUCAGAUGUCUGCAGAACUGAAGGUGUAGAUAUUUCUAGUCACAGUAGAGUGGUACAUGUUCUUCACAUAACAUAUUCACAGAUUCAUUUGUUCUAAUUAUACCACAUGAAAACUAGAGGUCGAAUUAACUCUCUUGUGGAAAUUAACUAUAGGCCAAGAAGGUCAAAUGACAUGUAGUCAUAUAAACGCAUUUUCAUUUUUGUCUUCCAUGUUGUUCUUAAACUGUCUGAGAAUAGUAUUCUCUCAUCACUGUGCUUGCAUCUGUUUAGUUUUCAUUAACAUAUCCUAGGCAUUAAAUGUUACAUGAAUUGUCUGCUGAUGCUGUGUCCUGAGGUGAUUGAUGCUUUUGGCAGGGAGCCUGUAAGUGAAUCGGUAUACAAAUAUAUAAAGAAUGGAAUGUAUGAGCUCAGUUCUGUUUUCUGUUAUGCCCAAAUGACCUGACAGAUUCCAGGGUUUCAGACACAGAUCAUCUUGAAGAUGUUCUUUGACUCUAUGUCUGCUAUUUUGGAGAAAUCUGCAUAUAUGAAUAUCAUAUAUAUAUCAAAACGCAUCAGAAAAUUGAAUGCACUCAUCUUGGAGAAAAAGGAAUAACAAGUUUCAGAGGACUGUCUUAAGAAAGAAGGUGAUGAUAGAUGCUGCACUUAACUUUUUUAAAGAGGUUCCCUAGAGACAGCUCAGUAAAACUCCAGCAGCCUUAUAUAGGGAAUGCCCUAGAAAUACAUUUUUAAAAUCUAUGUACCAAGUAUGCAGCAGUUUUACAUAACAAUAUGACUCAUAAUGAAUAUACUCUUUAAAGGAUGCUCCUAAACUGAGCCUCCUUAUUCAAGAGUUAUGCUUGCCAAAUCAUUCAGUUUGAACUUACUUCACAAUUAAUGACCUAAUUUGUAGCACUAUGGGCACUUGCCCUGCAAUAAUCUUACUUUUACUCAGGUCUCCUAAGAAGGAUGACAGCAGGAGUUAUUCUGACAAACUGCCAAAACAAUACUGCAAAGCUUUCAGAAGUUUUAAUUUUAAGUUGAUGAGAUCUAUGGUAUUAGAUGUAACGGUCUGGUCCCAUGAACACUGCAAUGACAAUAAUGCACUGAUGAUCAAGCCCAGAUCUUGCAAUGAGUAAAUGAUCAUAAGAAGUAUUCAAACAAAUUGCAGAUGUCAUCGUCCCCUGUUGAGCACUGAAAAACAUUUUGGAAAUAGAAGAAAGACGACCAGAUUUUGAGGCCUGAGUUUACUUUUAAAUGUUUUUUUCAUGCAGUUGGAGAUCUUUUGCUUUUGCAAACAAUCACUGACACAGCGUUACUGCCAUCAACUACUGAGCUGGCAAGUGUUACCAAAUAUUAUAAUUUCUGAUGGCAGUUCUUGCUGUUUCC